rnacentral:rRNA from 1 species
GACGAACGCUGGCGGCGUGCUUAACACAUGCAAGUCGAACGGAAAGGCCCUGCUUUUGUGGGGUGCUCGAGUGGCGAACGGGUGAGUAACACGUGAGUAACCUGCCCUUGACUUUGGGAUAACUUCAGGAAACUGGGGCUAAUACCGGAUAGGAGCUCCUGCUGCAUGGUGGGGGUUGGAAAGUUUCGGCGGUUGGGGAUGGACUCGCGGCUUAUCAGCUUGUUGGUGGGGUAGUGGCUUACCAAGGCUUUGACGGGUAGCCGGCCUGAGAGGGUGACCGGCCACAUUGGGACUGGGAUACGGCCCAGACUCCUACGGGAGGCAGCAGGGGGGAAUAUUGCACAAUGGGCGGAAGCCUGAUGCAGCAACGCCGCGUGCGGGAUGACGGCCUUCGGGCUGUAAACCGCUUUCGCCUGUGACGAAGCGUGAGUGACGGUAAUGGGUAAAGAAGCACCGGCUAACUACGUG